CGAAGCCCCAGUGAACGGCGGCCGUAACUAUAACGGUCCUAAGGUAGCGAAAUUCCUUGUCAGGUAAGUUCUGACCCGCAUGAAAGGCGUAAUGAUUUGGGCACUGUCUCAACAGCCCGCCCGGCGAAAUUGUAGUACCGGUGAAGAUGCCGGUUACCCGCGACAAGACGGAAAGACCCCAUGGAGCUUUACUGUAGCCUAAUAUUGGGUUUCGAUGUUGCAUGCACAGGAUAGAUGGGACACUAGGAAGCAGGUGCUUUGGCGCUUGUGGAGUGGCCGUUGGGAUACCAUCCUUGCGAUAUUGGAAUUCUAACCUGCGCCUUUGAAUCAAGGCGGGGGACAUUGUUAGGUGGGCAGUUUGACUGGGGCGGUCGCCUCCUAAAGAGUAACGGAGGCGUUCAAAGGUUCGCUCAGCUUGAACGGAAAUCAAGCAAAAGAGUGCAAACGCAGAAGCGAGCCUAACUGCGAGACUGACGGGUCGAGCAGUAACGAAAGUUGGAGUUAGUGAUCCGGUGGUAUGUGAGUGGAAAUGCCAUCGCUCAACGGAUAAAAGUUACCCUGGGGAUAACAGGCUGAUCUCCCCCAAGAGUCCACAUCGACGGGGAGGUUUGGCACCUCGAUGUCGGCUCAUCGCAUCCUGGGGCUGUAUUCGGUCCCAAGGGUUUGGCUGUUCGCCAAUUAAAGCGGUACGCGAGCUGGGUUCAGAACGUCGUGAGACAGUUCGGUCCCUAUCUGUCGUGGGCGCAGGAUAUUUGAUGGGAGCUGUUCCUAGUACGAGAGGACCGGAGCGGACGUACCUCUGGCGCACCAGUUGUUCUGCCAAGAGCAUAGCUGGGCAACUAUGUACGGAUCGGAUAAACGCUGAAAGCAUCUAAGCGUGAAGCCGACCCAAAGAUAAGAUAUCCCAUUGUUUCAAACAAGUAAGACCCCUUGAAGACUACAAGGUUGAUAGGCACGAUGUGUAAGUGGAGUGAUCCAUUCAGCAAGCGUGUACUAAUAGGUCGAGGGCUUGACCAC
rnacentral:rRNA from 1 species